UACAGAGGUCUCAAGCGUUGUUCGGAUUCAUUGGGCGUAAAGGGUGCGUAGGUGGCGCUGUAAGUCGGGUGUGAAAUUUCGGAGCUUAACUCCGAAACUGCAUUCGAUACUGCGGUGCUUGAGGACUGGAGAGGAGACUGGAAUUCAUGGUGUAGCAGUGAAUUGCGUAGAGAUCAUGAGGAAGACCAGUGGCGAAGGCGGGUCUCUGGACAGUUCCUGACACUGAGGCACGAAGGCCAGGGGAGCAAACGGG
rnacentral:rRNA from 1 species